UACGUAGGGCGCAAGCGUUGUCCGGAAUUAUUGGGCGUAAAGAGCUCGUAGGCGGUCCGUCACGUCUGCCGUGAAAACCCGCGGCUUAACUGCGGGCUUGCGGUUGAUACGGGCGGGCUAGAGUUCGGUAGGGGAGACUGGAAUUCCUGGUGUAGCGGUGAAAUGCGCAGAUAUCAGGAGGAACACCGGUGGCGAAGGCGGGUCUCUGGGCCGAUACUGACGCUGAGGAGCGAAAGCGUGGUGAGCGAACAGG
rnacentral:rRNA from 1 species